CACAUGGGAUGCCAGGUCAUAAACUCAAGUGAUGUCCAACCGACACCUGUCCCAUUAAAUGAAACGCCGCGUAUCAAGCUUUUGUAUAUCGUGUGGGUUUAAUUUUGGUCUGCGCAUACGCUCCGUUUACGGGCUUAAUGACGUUCAUUUGCUAAGGCCCUGGAAAAGAGAAUUGUUGGUGACCUAAUGUCUUAUUCGUACAUCCGAGUACAGCGGCGAUAACGACGAACGAUCGUGGUCGGUUUCCCUGUAACGCUUCGCGACUUAACUCACAUUAAGAGACUUUCAAUGCGUCGUUCCGUCUGCGAGAUCUGUAAUCUCCGUAUAUAUAGGUUGAGUGAUAUGUUUUGUGGUUCACGGCAGGAUAGAGUGAUAUACAGAAAAAGGAAAAUGGAAAGGGAAGCCAUACCAGAGCAUUUGAUCAAACUCCUCCCUGUCGCACAGCCUGCCGCAUUUGAUCUGGUGGGUUAUGUCAUCUACGACAUUGGAAGGGAAGCCAUACCAGAGAAGAGUCUUCUACAAUGGAACCAUUGAGGUAGUUGAAUCUGAUGGCUUCUCAGUGGUGUGUCUGUCUUUCUUUUAACACUUGGGGUUGCUCUCCUCCUCCUUCUCGGUCUAUGGGCAUACAGCCAAGUACAGAGUCUCACUAAGAACACCAAAAAGGUAUCGAAGGUGGACGUAGGAACAAGGUCUACGGACGCAUCACUUGACGAGUGACUCGAGGGACAUUUGGCAAAGAUAUUGCAAGAAAACCGAAGAGAAGAAGUGAGAAAAAAUAGAACCUUUUCUAUUUAUGAAGGUUCUGCUUCAGUCAGAGUAAUAAUGCUCAGAGUAAAUAAGUGGCUGCUUCAGCCCAAUUUCUCAGUAUUAUGUUUUAUUCUAUGUUAUGUCCUCUGUUUUUUUUCUCUGUCAUAUGUGUAUGUGUUCUUGAAAGAUCCUUGCAGAAUCAAAAACUAUCUAUCUAAUCUUCAAGGUAAUAAAAAAAGAUUAGUUACUUAUUUAAUACAGAGGUUGCAAUGUCUUAACUACAAAGUUAUACUGAGAAUAUUAUACAUCAAAAGACUUUUAGUUCAAGGAUGAUCAGUAUUUUGCAAGUUUUUACUUUCUACCUUAGUUUCUCAGUAAAGAGUCUUGCCUAAGACUUUGAACGUUCUUAUCCUUAAAAGUCUCUAUGCUUUGUGC